AUACGUAGGGGGCGAGCGUUGUCCGGAAUGAUUGGGCGUAAAGGGCGCGUAGGCGGCCCGGUAAGUCUGGAGUGAAAGUCCUGUUUUUAAGAUGGGAAUUGCUUUGGAUACUGUCGGGCUUGAGUGCAGGAGAGGUAAGUGGAAUUCCCAGUGUAGCGGUGAAAUGCGUAGAGAUUGGGAGGAACACCAGUGGCGAAGGCGACUUACUGGACUGUAACUGACGCUGAGGCGCGAAAGUGUGGGGAGCAAACAGGAUUAGAUACCCUGGUAGUCCACACUGUAAACGAUGAAUGCUAGGUGUAGGGGGUAUCGACCCCUUCUGUGCCGCAGUCAACACAAUAAGCAUUCCGCCUGGGGAGUACGGCCGCAAAGUUGAAACUCAAAUGAAUUGACGGGG
rnacentral:rRNA from 1 species